GACGAACGCUGGCGGCGUGCCUAAUACAUGCAAGUCGAACGAAGCUUUUUUAACUGGUGCUUGCACCGACUUAAACAACUGAGUGGCGAACGGGUGAGUAACACGUGGGUAACCUGCCCCAAAGCGGGGGAUAACAUUUGGAAACAGAUGCUAAUACCGCAUAACCACAGAAACCACAUGGUUUCUGUGUCAAAGAUGGUUUCGGCUAUCACUUUGGGAUGGACCCGCGGCGUAUUAGCUAGUUGGUAAGGUAAUGGCUUACCAAGGCAAUGAUACGUAGCCGAACUGAGAGGUUGAUCGGCCACAUUGGGACGGAGACACGGACCAAACUCCUACGGGAGGCAGCAGUAGGGAAUCUUCCACAAUGGACGAAAGUCUGAUGGAGCAACGCCGCGUGAGUGAAGAAGGUUUUCGGAUCGUAAAACUCUGUUGUCAGAGAAGAACGUGUGCGAGAGUAACUGUUCGUGCAGUGACGGUAUCUGGCCAGAAAGCCACGGCUAACUACGUGCCAGCCGCCGCGGUAA
rnacentral:rRNA from 1 species